CAUAUGCUUGUCUCAAAGAUUAAGCCAUGCAUGUCUAAGUACGAACUUUUACAAGGUGAAACCGCGAAUGGCUCAUUAAAUCAGUCGAGUUUUAUUAGGUGGUGCUAUCCUACUUGGAUAACUGUGGUAAUUCUAGAGCUAAUACAUGCGACAAAGCUCCGACCUUGAUUGGAAAGAGCGCUUUUAUUAGAUCAAGACCAACCGUUCGAUGUUCCGUUAACGCGGUCAUAGUUCGUCGGAUUGAUGACUCUGGAUAACCUUUGCCGAUCGUAUGGCCCCGCGCCGACGACGCACCUUUCAAAUGUCUGCCCUAUCAACUUUCGUUGGUAGGCGAUUUGCCUACCAAGGUUUUUACGGGUAACGGGGGAUCAGGGUUCGAUCCCGGAGAGGGAGCAUGAGAAACGGCUACCACAUCCAAGGAAGGCAGCAGGCGCGCAAAUUACCCACUCUUAGCACGAGGAGGUAGUGACGAAAAAUAACAAUACGGGACUCUUUCGAGGCCCCGUAAUUGGAAUGAGUACACUCUAAACCCGUUAACGAGGAUCUAUUGGAGGGCAAGUCUGGUGCCAGCAGCCGCGGUAAUUCCAGCUCCAAUAGCGUAUAUUAAAGCUGUUGCAGUUAAAAAGCUCGUAGUCGGACGUCGGGCGGCGGCCUGCGGUCUGGUUCCGUGCCAGUACUGCUCGUCGCGGCCUCCACGCCGGUCGUCUCUCGGUGCUCUUAGCUGAGUGCCUUGAGUAGCCGGAGCGUUUACUUUGAAAAAAUUAGAGUGUUCAAGGCAGGCCCCGAGCCUGAAUGAUGGUGCAUGGAAUAAUGGAAUAGGACCUCGGUUCUAUUUUGUUGGUCUUCGGAACUGGAGGUAAUGAUUAAUAGGGACGGACGGGGGCAUUCGUAUUGCGGCGUUAGAGGUGAAAUUCUUGGAUCGUCGCAAGACGGACUACUGCGAAAGCAUUUGCCAAGAAUGUUUUCAUUGAUCAAGAGCGAAAGUCAGAGGAUCGAAGACGAUCAGAUACCGUCCUAGUUCUGACCAUAAACGAUGCCGACUAGCGAUCCGGCUCCGUUGCUUCGUAAGACUGGCUGGGCAGCUCCCGGGAAACCAAAGUGUCUGGGUUCCGGGGGAAGUAUGGUUGCAAAGCUGAAACUUAAAGGAAUUGACGGAAGGGCACCACCAGGAGUGGAGCCUGCGGCUUAAUUUGACUCAACACGGGAAARCUCACCCGGCCCGGACACCGUAAGGAUUGACAGAUUGAAAGCUCUUUCUUGAUUCGGUGGGUGGUGGUGCAUGGCCGUUCUUAGUUGGUGGAGCGAUUUGUCUGGU
rnacentral:rRNA from 1 species